UACGUAGGGGGCAAGCGUUGUCCGGAAUCAUUGGGCGUAAAGCGCGUGUAGGCGGCUUCGUAAGUCCGUUGUGAAAGUCCAGGGCUCAACCCUGGAAUGCCGAUGGAUACUGCGGAGCUAGAGUCCGGAAGAGGCGAGUGGAAUUCCUGGUGUAGCGGUGAAAUGCGCAGAUAUCAGGAGGAACACCAAUGGCGAAGGCAGCUCGCUGGGACGGUACUGAUGCUGAGACGCGAAAGCGUGGGGAGCAAACAGG
rnacentral:rRNA from 1 species